rnacentral:autocatalytically_spliced_intron from 1 species
GUGAUUGUGUAACAUUCUGAUUACACCUCCAGUUCCGUCUGGAGUAGCCUACGGACACGUGCAUAGGGAGUAAUUCCUUUGUACGAAGCUGUCCCGACAAGGUAGCCUUUCCGAAAGGAGGAGACUGAACCGCGAGGGGAGGUCAACGGCUGAUAAUACCAUUCAGCACGAGGAGCUUGGCUUAGCGGUAUGGUCAACGAAAGUGAACUGUCCGAUAAACAUCGUAAAGUACAACGAGCCAAAGGUAUUGACAGGCUCGAACCAAAAGGUAAGCAGUCGGCUGUUCCCUUGAAUUUUGGGGACACACGGACAUGAAGCACUGCCGGUGGAAUAGACAGGUCCUAACCCGCUUAUUUGUCACUUAUGUAAAACACGGUAAGCCCGUAUCUCUCCCAUCUUAAUGGGUAAGCAAACCGUAAGGUGAGCCUACAUGGGGUGCGGGUAUAGGAAAGCGGAAAAAGCGAAUGCCGUUCUGUAAUGGAACGGAUACGGAUUGAGCCUCGGUCACGUGUGGCAAGGGCGACAUCAUCCGACACGAAAGUGGGCAGACUUCCGUAUGGUAACACUUUACAAAAUAGUUUACAGAACUUUUAAAGCAAGGA